rnacentral:sRNA from 1 species
GCCCUGUGAAAGCUGGUGGGGGGAGGCGGCUGCAGUCACUGAGGGUGUCACUUGUACCCAGCUGGCCAUGCAGUUCAUCAGCCAGUACAGCCCUGAGGACAUCGUCACGGCGCAGAUUGAGGGCAGCUCCGGGGCACUGUGGCGCAUCAGCCCACCCAGCCGUGCCCAGAUGAAGCGGGAGCUCUACAACGGCACGGCCGACAUCACCCUGCGCUUCACCUGGAACUUCCAGAGGUUCGUCCUGGACUUGGGGCAGUGCCUGGGUGGGUGGACCCACCACAGUGGGUCACGCUGUGUUCCCACCCACAGGGACCUGGCGAAGGGAGGCACUGUGGAGUAUGCCAACGAGAAGCACAUGCUGGCCCUGGCCCCCAACAGCACUGCACGGCAGCAGCUGGCCAGCCUGCUCGAGGGCACCUCGGACCAGUCUGUGGUCAUCCCCAAUCUCUUCCCCAAGUACAUCCGUGCCCCCAACGGGCCCGAAGCCAACCCUGUGAAGCAGCUGCAGCCCAGUGAGUAGGGGCGUGGGGGUUGCGGGAGGCUAGAGAGGGGUGACCUGCGGCCUCAACGAUCUUCUCGCUCCAUCCCAGAUGAGGAGGCCGACUACCUCGGCGUGCGUAUCCAGCUGCGGAGGGAGCAGGGUGCGGGGGCCACCGGCUUCCUCGAAUGGUGGGUCAUCGAGCUACAGGAGUGCCGGACUGACUGCAACCUGCUGCCCAUGGUCAUUUUCAGUGACAAGGUCAGCCCACCGAGCCUCGGCUUCCUGGCUGGCUACGGGUGAGUGAGUGGCUGGGGGGCACCCCGCAGCUCGGGGGGCUCCGGGCGGCCCCAGGACUCACCAGCUUCCCCCGCAGCAUCAUGGGGCUGUACGUGUCCAUCGUGCUGGUCAUCGG